GUUUACGUCUUACCAAAAAAUAAAUCACCUGCCUCAAUAGAUUUGAAAUGCUUAUGGGUAUUUUCAGGUAAGAAAAAAACAGCUCCUUUAUGUUAUAGUUUUACAUUCUACUGAAGCGUAUUAAUAUUUACUCUUACUCUUUAUACUAUUUAACCAAGUGAGCUGUAAUAAAUUAUAUUUGCAUGUAGCUAAGCAGCAUCAGGAAGAAUUGAAAUUGUUUUAGGUUGAUCUCUGUUAAGGUGACAUUGGGCACUGUAGAAAUGCAUAAAUGUACUAUGAACACUUGCUAUUACAAAUGUUCAUGUACAGUAGAAAUGCAUGAAUUUAUUGUAAAACACCUGAUAUUAAAAAUGUUUAUGUACUGUAGAAAUGCAUGAAUUUGUUAUAAAAUUAUUAUUGUUAUGUCACCAGGAAUGGGAUAUGUAUACAAACUGAAAUCCAUAGGGUUAUUCAAAAUGGAGGCUGUACCAGGUACCAACUUGUACAAAACAACACCUUCUUAUAGGAAAGCUUCUGCAUUAGAACUACAGAAAUUGACGGUUAGAGGACAUUGAACCAACCCAGAGCCAGCUUCAUAGCUGUUUCAAACUUAUAAUAAAUAGACACCAGCAUGUAAGAAACAACAACGCCUGGGGGAUGGGGGAUGUACAUAAACCAAUGUUGUUAAUUGUUUUUGGUUCUUGAGCAAAAGCAUAGUGGCCUGUGGACUGUUAUUGCUCGGGAAACCUCUGCAUCACAACUUAUUCUCAUCAUUCUUAUUUCUUAUUAAAACCACUAUAUUCAGGGCUGUAGUGGAGGGUAAACGCACGUAAACGCCGUUUACGCACCUCUAGAAUUUGGAAAUAGCGUUUAAGCACCUAUAAAUAGCGUUUACGCACCUCAAAGUUCCCUGCGCCUUGUAUUCUUCCGUUGGAAUAAUCUGGAAUAAACUUGGUGUAAUUUUAAAACAGCUAAGACUACGUUUCCUAUUGUUGAACAUAUAAACGCCGUAGUCUAAAUCAUGUUCAUCUGCGCUGUAUUACGGUCUGUGAGCAUCCAAUCAGUGCCUUGCGGCUGCAGCAGCGACCAAUCAGGAUCCAGGAGGUGUGUAAACACACGCUUGAGUGUUGAUAUUUUUGAAUGCAUUGCAUCAAGCAGGGGACACUAAUCUCGUGGGGGGUCAGACCAUAGCAGGAUUAGUAGGGGCAGGGAGAUACAGGUGCAGGAGCACUUAUUCUGCAUGCUAAUAUGUGUAUACAUACAUGUGUGUGUGUGUGUGUGUGUGUGUGUGUGUGUGUGUGUGUGUGUGUGUGUGUGUGUGUAAGCUUCUACUCUGUUCUCAGAGGACAGAAGGAAACUUCAAAGACCUUCAGAUUAGUUUUCAUUAAUGCAAAAUCAGUGCGUUUGAGAUGAAGUGAAAUAUCCAAAUACAGCGGCAGAGAUUGUUGUCGUGGUGGGCAGCUUGGUUUUUUAGCAAAUGUGGGUUCUCGCUCCCACUCCCCCUCCCUUCUCUUUUCCUUUCUCUUUUCACUCUUCUUGAAAAGUUUUUCUUUUUCUACUUGUCAUCUUAUAUAAUCUCAUAUAAUGUCAACAUCACGGAUGGGCCGGCUCGACUGCAGAUGUGAACAAUCUGCAUCCGAGUGUCACAGAUGACCACGGAGGCUCCCUCUAACUGGUGAUCCAUCACCGCACUAACCGGACGACAGGGACCGACUAGUAAUGCAACAAUUGAUCGAUGUGCAAACUGUAAUUAAAAGCCUUGCUCUAAUAAGUACCAUGGGAGCAAUAGCCAUUCCGCAUGCGUGGUUAAAGUGUAUAGGAGAGGAGUGGAACGAAAAGGGAUGGUGGAGGGGUGGUGGGGGGAGGCGGGUAGAGUGAUGGAUAUGGGAGGUAUUAUAGAUGAGUGGACUUAGAAGGAGGGACCGAGAGAUGCUGGAGGGCUGGUUGAGCAGGCCUGGGUGAGAAGAUCAAAGCUCAAGUGCUACGAUGGACAGAUUGAAAAGCACGGGGUCGGGGAAGGCGGAGGAGGGUGCUGUUGGCAAAAUUUCUAACAGAAAAAAGCAGGAAGGAGAGGAAACCAGGGAGAGGGUUAUUAUGAAUUGGCUGCAAAAAAAUGGCAAAGAUCGUCGUUGAAUUAUGAAACAUUUUCGAGGCCUGUGCCUAAGCCAGAGGUGUGAUCCCAACCUUCUCCCCCUCCCCCUUUACCACCUUGUUUACCAUCCGGCGGGAGGACACAAAUACGGAGUGAUGGACAGAGCGCCGAAGACUUAAAAUGCAGCCCUUUGUCUCAUUAUCUCUGGCCAUAUCGUAAUGAGCUGCACCCUCAUACAGUUCCUAAUUAAAACCAACCUUCACUCUCUGCAACAAUGAAUCACAAAUGAAUACGGCCCAACAUGCGUGGAUUGGAGUGAACACAGACACAUGCGCACACAAAAGUCACAAACCUUGGGUGGGAUAUUCUUCUAAAUCCUUCCGUAAACAAUUAAGCGAGUUAUGGAGUGUUUAAUGAGAUAAAAGCAGAUAAAAACCUUGCCCUUUGUUCGUCUGUCCGCUGGGACCCCCGAGCCAGGAGUUAGUGUGUGUUAUCAGGACGUCUCCCCCUGAGACGGCUGCACGGCUGAGGAGCUCCGGGCCUUAACUCUUUCGCGGGGUGUGCGGGGUCUGCACGAGUGGGCGUGUGUUUCAACUUCAGAACGUCGCUCCGGGUACAAACAUAUCAAGUAUAUUCAAUUUGUCUUUUUUGGCUCUGAUUCUCCCCAGCCCUGGAUACAUGUAAGGCAUCUUCUCUGAACCUUACACACCUCCAGAAAACAGCGCAGCAGAGGCGCGUUUGCCCAGAAGGCGGCAAAUUAAACAAGGCUGGGAAGGAGACAUCCCCCCCUUCCCGCCUUCUCCCCUUUCAUUUGAAUUUGUGAUUGCUCACCGCGGUGUUGCUGCCUGCCGCUUCACAUUGGGAAGCAUGAAAUGAGAAGAGCUUUAGUGUUUAUUGAGACCCAUGCGGUGUUAAGCGCAGGAUACAGUGAAAUCUCAUUUGAAUUCAAACCAGACGGAGUUCAUUCAAAACAAAGCGCCAGGAGCUUUGGUACAACAGCCCGGGAAUCCCCCCCCCUCCCCCCCCCAAAAGAAAUCCUUUAACCACAUUUUUUGCCACCGCUUUCUUUCGCUCUGUCUGUCUGCCUGUGUUCCAUCUCCGCUUUCACCUCUCCUAUCAAUCCCUCUCCCAUAGUCUGUGCCUGCUGGUUGUCACACGUUAUCCGCUAAUCGAGAGAAAGAGGCCUGUUCCGUCAACAGUCUCGCUGAUCUAGAAGAUCCUAUCUACCCUCAACAUAUGUCUGCAAAUAUUUUGUCCCAUGAAUGAUUCAUGCAGGGUUUUUUUUUUUUUUGCAUCUGAUGGCGGAAUUCAUAUCCUUGUUUACUUAUCCCCCCCUCCACUUUGAAUGCGAUGUGGCUUUUUUAUAUAAGACUGCAAUUACCCGUGUGCGGACUAGCCGGCGAGGAAAUGUCACCACACUCGACUUAGCUAGACUGGCUAAACAAUGACAGGCACUAGACAGGCAUCAGAUUCAACGUACACACCAGCAUCCUCAUUAGGGGAGGCUGAUGCCAACGUUCGACACGGAAAGUUCGCGAGACAUCAAAACCGUCUCGUGAUACAGGAUGUGGGAAGAAUGCAGCGGCACCCGAGAUCGGAAACCUUGGUAAGCACCUUACGCAAUUCCGACAUCUGUGCGCGCUGUGAUAUUUUUCCACGUCGUGACGUGAGAUAAAAUGCACAAAGCCGCUUCGCUGGUACUUUUAUUGUCAUGAGCCGCUGCCCUUGAUGCUUCAAAUAAUACCUUUUUUUUUAGCAGAGUGUUGCUCGAGUUUAAACUCCUUUGUCAGUUCCACAUUGUUUUUCCUUGUCCUGUCCCAGAGCCGCAGCCUGUCUCUCCUUUGCCCUCUGUACUCCCCCAAUACUAAUUCAUCUCUCGGCUAAUGACACGCUCAUCUUCGGUCACCUUCAACACGCUGCCUCUCAAAACAGUUUCCCGAAAAAUGCUUUCGCUUUCUAGAGGCCGCCGGUGUCAAAACAUCAAAGGUAGAGUGGCAGCGUAAACACCAACAGCUGAUGCUUUCUUCGGGAUAAUCACCCCUGCUGCUCCUGGCACUCAGCUCCCCUCUUUGGGUUGCAGUGAGGGGUGGUUGUCUUAUCUGUGUGCGUGCAAGCUUGCAUCUAUGUGGGAUUAAUCCAUACUGAGCGAAAGGUAGGGUGCAAUCAGCGCUCCAUUUGAGAAUAGUAGAAGGCUCUGUGACCAUGAAGGGGAAAUGGGAAAUGGGAGAUGGCGUGUCCAGCGUUUUGCCGGGGUAAUGGAGCCUAAGAAGUCAUUUAGAACCAGCCCUGCCCUGUCACAUGCCUGUCACACCACUGGCUUGGCAGUGUCAGAUCUGAUGUGCGUCUAGUUGAGCAUCACGGGAGUCCGCCGGCAUCUCCCGUAGCCUCGCGUCGGUCAAAGACAACACACCCUAACAAUUGGCCAAUGCGAACACUCACACACAGAGACACACACACUUCCGUCCCAGAAAAAAGGCAACCGAGCAUCCGCCGGCCCGUCGAGCUAUCAAAUCUGUCCCCGCUAGAUAAACAUCCUCUCGACACUGUGACAUUUUCUCCUGACACAAGCGGGCAAAACGUGCACGGCGGGUGUUUAUGUGUGCAUGUCUGCCAGAGUGUUUUAUUUAUGCAUGCAGAAAUAACAGGCCUUUUAUAUAAAGAGCAAAAUUAAUGUAUGACCCGGCUGUACUAGGUAAUAAAUCACUCCUCCUGAAGGAUGAGCAUUUUUCUUUCUUUAUUUAUUUUUAGCUUCUCUCUCUAAAAUGUUACGAUUAGCAUUUUAUUACGUAGUGUCUAUAAAAAUAAUUGUAAGAUUUAUGCAAAUGGUAUUAGAUGAUGCAAAGUGCUUCUGACACGGUUAUGAGAGCCAUGUCAGACACUUCUGUUUUGGAUCAACGGGAAAAGAGCAUCAAGCUGACUUCAUUCAACUUGACGUGUACUUUAACUCCCUGUCCAAUUUGAUUUAAUUAGUCGAUAUUUGUCGUCUUUUAUGCUAUAUGAACGGCUUUGUUUGUCUCGCUCAAGCACUUUGGACUGAGCAUUACACAGUCUAAUGGCUCUGAUAAGCACACUGUUUUCUCUCCU
ensembl:lncRNA